GACGAACGCUGGCGGCGUGCCUAAUACAUGCAAGUCGAACGAAGCUGUUUUAACUGGUGCUUGCACCGACUUAAACAACUGAGUGGCGAACGGGUGAGUAACACGUGGGUAACCUGCCCCAAAGCGGGGGAUAACAUUUGGAAACAGAUGCUAAUACCGCAUAACCACAGAAACCACAUGGUUUCUGUGUCAAAGAUGGUUUCGGCUAUCACUUUGGGAUGGACCCGCGGCGUAUUAGCUAGUUGGUAAGGUAAUGGCUUACCAAGGCAAUGAUACGUGGCCGAACUGGGAGGUUGAUCGGCCACAUUGGGACUGAGACACGGCCCAAGCUCCUACGGGAGGCAGCAGUAGGGAAUCUUCCACAAUGGACGAAAGUCUGAUGGAGCAACGCCGCGUGAGUGAAGAAGGUUUUCGGAUCGUAAAACUCUGUUGUCAGAGAAGAACGUGUGCGAGAGUAACUGCUCGUGCAGUGACGGUAUCUGGCCAGAAAGCCACGGCUAACUACGUGCCAGCCGCCGCAGUAA
rnacentral:rRNA from 1 species